rnacentral:rRNA from 1 species
UACGUAGGGUGCGAGCGUUAAUCGGAAUUACUGGGCGUAAAGCGUGCGCAGGCGGUUUUGUAAGCCAGAUGUGAAAUCCCCGGGCUUAACCUGGGAAUGGCAUUUGGGACUGCAAGGCUUGAGUGCGGCAGAGGAGUGUGGAAUUCCUGGUGUAGCGGUGAAAUGCGCAGAUAUCGAGGAGGAACACCGAUUGCGAAGGCAGCUCGCUGGAACGUUACUGACGCUGAGACGCGAAAGCGUGGGGAGCAACAGG